GUUUCUGUAGCUCAGCUGGUAGAGCAAGUGACUCUUAAUCACUGGGUCCCGAGUUCGAUCCUCGGCGGGAACA
rnacentral:tRNA from 1 species